AAGAUAAGUUAAAAAUUGAUUCAGCAAUUAAAAUAGAAACGAAUGAAGAAAUUUGUGUUACAACCUUAUUAUAUGCUAUAACUAAGUUUUUUAUAGGAGAACCUUUNNNNNNNNNNNNNCAAUGGUGAAAUACCUUUUAAUUCAUUAACUAUGGGAGAAAUAUCAAAUUAUAUUGUAGAAACUGGUUUACAGAUCUGUACAGAUUAUAAAAUACAAAAUAAAAUUAAAAAUGAAAAAGCAAAUAAUAAAAAAGAAAUGAGAUCAUUUUGCGAGCAAUAUGGUGCUACCCCCAUACGAGCUCCUAGUAACCCUAAAAGCAAAAAGAAAUCUUUUAGUAGAAAUAAGAAAGAUCUUAAAAAAUAUUAUAAGAAAGAUAACUACCAAAAAGAAAAUUAUCAAGAGAAUAGAAAGUUUUAUAAGAAUCCAAGAAAAAAGAAUAGAAAACACUCUUACCAAAAAUCUAGUAACAAAACUAAAGAUAUUAAAUGUUAUAAAUGUGGUCGAUUCGGUCACUAUGCCAAUAACUGCAAAGUUAAAGAGAAAAUUCAACAAAUUAGUAAUCUAGACAUAUCAGAAGAAUUAAAACAAAAUUUAAUUCGUACCUUAGAAAAUAUAAUGAUAUUAUCAGAUGAAGAUCUCUCUUCGUCUUAUGAAUCUGAAGCUGAAGAUAUUAACAAUUUAG
rnacentral:lncRNA from 1 species